AGCUCACCAUGGAUGAUGAUACCUCUGCACUUGUUGGCAACUGCUCUGGUAUGUGCAAGGCCAGAAUCCUUGUCAAAGAUGCCCCCAGGCCUUCUUCCUUUCCAUAGUGGGAUGCCCAUGGGACCAGAGUUUGAUGAUGGGCAUAGGGCAGAAGGACUGCUAUGUGAGGAAUGAGGUCCAGAACAAGUGAGGCAUCCUGACCCUGAAGUACCCCACUGAGCACUGCAUCAUCACCAACUGGGAAGACAUGGAGAAGAUCUGGCACCACACCUUCUACAAUGAGUUGUGGCUCCCAAGGAGCACCCUGUGCUAUUGACCAAGGUCCCCCUGAACCCCAAGGCCAACCAUGAGAAGAUAGCCCAGAUCAUGUUUGAGACCUUCAACAUCCCAGCUAUGUACAUGGCCAUCUGGGUCAUGCUGUCCGUCUAGCCUCUGGCCAUACCACUGGCAUUGUGAUGGAUUCCAGUGGCAGGUUCACCUACAGUGUGCUCAUCUCCGAGGACUAUGCCCUUCUCUAUGCCAUCCUGCAUCCAGACCUGGCUUGCCGGGACCUAUCUCAUGAAGAUCCUCCCCUAGUGAAGCUAUAGCUUCACUAUCAUGGCAGAAUGGGAAAUUAUGCAUGACAUCAAGGAGAAGCUGUGCUGGAUCAUCUUGGACUUCAAUCAGGAGCUGACAGCCCCUGCAUCCUUCUUUUCCCUGCCAACAGCCAGGUAAUUACCAUCUGCAACAAUCUCUUCUUGAUAGGUCCCGGCUCUCUUCCACACUUCUUUCCUGCAUAUGGAAUCUUGUGGCAUCCAUGAAACUACUUCCAACUCCAUCAUGAAAUGUGAUGUGAACAUGCACAAGAACCUGUACUCCAACACAGUGCUAUCUGGUGGCACCACCAUGUACCCGAGCAUCCAGGACAGGAUGCAAAAGGAGAUCACUGCCCUGGCCCCCAGCACAAUAAGAUCAAAAUUAUUGUGCCCCGUGAGCACACAUUCUCUGUGUGAAUCAGCGGCUUCAUCCUGGCCUCCCUGUUCACCUUCUAGUGGAUUUGGAUCAGCAAACAAGAAUACUAAAAAUCCAUCCCCUCCAUCGUCCACUACAA
rnacentral:lncRNA from 1 species